CCCGCCGGGCCCCGGGAGCACACGAAACACACCCUCCCCCUGCCCCCACCCGGAGGCUGUUCCAGACGCUCGGAGGCUGGCGCGUGCCUGCAGCGAUUUCCAGAAAUGCAUUUGAAUAGGUCCGCUUCCAGAUCCCGAGAAACAGCCCGAGGGGAGAGCAAGGGCUGAAAACUCUGCGGCUCCAUCCUUGGGUGCAAAGGAGAAACCACAGCGGACUUGUCAGCGGAUCUCAAAUAAACUCAAAUUCCGUCCUUCUCACUGGCUCACUGGCCGUGGGCACCUGAGCUGACCAGGCAAAGCCCAUUCCUGCCUCUAAAGAUGAAUGAGCACAAGCCGGCUCCCCCAGGGGUUUGGGUUCUGAGAGUGGAGAUCUAAAUGAGCCCCUGCCUGGUCUACCCACCAGAUUUCUUCCUCCGGCACCUGGAAAAAGCCUCCACCCUGUUCUCAGAGUUGCAUCUUUAACCACAGCCUGCAAGGCAACCACAGGGCCUUUGCACUGGCUGUGGCCUCUGCCUGGGAUGCUUUUCCUGAGACCCGCGCCCAGGGUGACCGUCCAUCCAUGCUUGCCGAAGAGUGAAGGGCUUCUGGGGAACAUGGAAGGGCCAGUGCUAACCUGGAAAGGUGCUGGGGAAGCCUCCGCCCUCCACAGCAUCCAGCCCUAGUCACACAGCUCGGCCAUGAGACCCUCUGCGAGGCCAACUUCUAACAGCCACCUCCUUCCCCUGGGUCUUCCGCUGUUGCCUGAUUUUUCUCAGCGGCACCGCCCACAUCUAAAAAGCCAUCUUAUUUGUUUCUCUUUCCUUUCACCCCAAUUUGACCCACAGUAGCUGUUCUAUAAAUCUCUCAAAUAAAUGAACGAGUUUCCAGAGAAGCAUUGACUGGCCUGGGCCUGUGCUCAGCCCUUUACACAGAGGAGUUCCUUUUGUCCUUCACGCAACCCUAAAAGGAGAUCUGGUCAGAACCUCUCUUACAGCGAGGACACUGAGUGCCUGUGCCCCAUCACCAAGCCGGUCACUGGGCCUUCUGCAACCUCCCUUCACUCCUCCAACAUGCAGUGACUGGCGCCUACUGCGUGCCGGGUGUUAUGGUGGAGGCCUGGGAACCUGAGGAAACACAGAUUUCAGCGCGCCCGCCCGCAGCACAGUUCCGGGAGACACAGCCAAAACAAAGACAGGGAAGAAAGCGAGGUCCAAGAAGCUGAUGGGGACCGAUAAAUGGAAGCCCCGAAAGCUUCUCCACCCGCUGGAGACGCCCUGCCUCCCACUGCUGGUUCCCUGCCCGCUGGGUGCCCCAGACAAGAGCCCAGGACCUUCCCCGAUGCCCCUGGAAACCUGCAGGUGACCCACUCCCCACCCAGGACCGUGGGUGGCCGGAGGGCCUCCCUCUCAGCAGCCCGCAGCCCCUAGCAUCUGCUUCCGGAGGAUGCCAACGGACCCAGGGUGGCCGUGGUCUGUGCUCUCGAGUUGUUGGGGCUGACAGGAGGUGACCGGGGGUGGCAGAAGCAACAGAAAGAAGAAGCGUAACAAGAUGUGCUCACUGUGGGGACGAAGGUUUGCUCACUGUGGUUUCUGCCCCAGGACCUUUGCACACUCUUGCCCUCCCAGGUGGCGCAACAGGUUAAAGCACAGGACUGUGAAGCUGUCGGCAGUCACCACAGCAGGAGCCCCAUCCCCGGCCAGGGAGUGACCCACAGAGCACAGCCGACCUCUCCUGUCUCCCCCUGCGCCCCUCAGUGGUA